UUGAAAGGGAAACGAUUGAAGUCAGUCGUACCGAUGAGAAUUCAACUCUUCGAGUGCUCACUUGUGGGCGUGCGUGAGCUUUAAAUCCUCGCUGUUUGCAACGUUUGUAUUUUUUGGGUGUACUUUUUCGUAUGGUAGGCCAAUAUCAGUUUUGAUCACCAUAAAAUGAUCGGAAGAAUGUAGCUUCGAUCUUGUAUUGAAGUGUUAUAGCCUUUGGUAGAUGUAACGGAUGGGAUCGAGGAUUGCAAUGAAUGCCCUCAUGGGCUAUCCGCCUGGCCUCUGACAUGUAACUCUGAUGCUGAAAGCUUGCUUAUGGUGUUAUAGUGUACGGUCAAAAGGUUAGAACGGAAUAAAUUCGUUAAGGAUGUUGACGUA
rnacentral:rRNA from 1 species